rnacentral:rRNA from 1 species
CAGCCGCCGCGGGAAUACGGAGGGCGCGAGCGUUACCCGGAUUUACUGGGCGUAAAGGGCGUGUAGGCGGCCUGGGGCGUCCCAUGUGAAAGGCCACGGCUCAACCGUGGAGGAGCGUGGGAUACGCUCAGGCUAGAGGGUGGGAGAGGGUGGUGGAAUUCCCGGAGUAGCGGUGAAAUGCGCAGAUACCGGGAGGAACGCCGAUGGCGAAGGCAGCCACCUGGUCCACUUCUGACGCUGAGGCGCGAAAGCGUGGGGAGCAAACAGGAUUAGAUACCCCCGUAGUCCCUGUCUCUUAUAC